rnacentral:rRNA from 1 species
UACGUAGGGUGCGAGCGUUGUCCGGAAUUACUGGGCGUAAAGGGGGCGCAGGCGGUCUCGUAAGCUGGGUGUGAAAGCCCCGGGCUUAACCUGGGAAUGGCAUUCAGGACUGCGAGGCUUUGAGUGCGGCAGAGGGAGGUGGAAUUCCACGUGUAGCAGUGAAAUGCGUAGAGAUGUGGAGGAACACCGAUGGCGAAGGCAGCCUCCUGGGCCAGCACUGACGCUCAUGCACGAAAGCGUGGGGAGCAAACAGG